UUUGGGGGGCCUAUUAUAGGGGAGAAGUCUUUCAGCAAACCGCAAAAUGCAUAAUUAAAGGCUCAUGGGAGUUUUAGACGUCGUCCUUGCUCUGUUUACAACAGCAAACCAAAGAUUUUCACGUUUUGUACACAACAUCUGCCUUUCAAGCCGCGAGAAGUCGUCCUCGCCAAAUUGACUUAGUAGAAGUCUUCUCAACUAUAAACCUCUGUCUUAACCUUCUUAAAUUGCAAUAAAUUCAUACAACGGAUAAUACAAGACAUGUUGAUCUUAAAGUUACUU